UUUCCGUAGGUGAACCUGCGGAAGGAUCAUUCAUAAUAAAGUGUUUUAUGGCACUUUUUAAAAAUCCAUAUCCACCUUGUGUGCAAUGUUAGAUCUCGUCAAUCUUGGCGAGAUUUUUAUACAUCAACUCAUUCUUUAACUAAUUUGUCUGAAAAAUAUUAUGAAUACUUAAUUCAAAAUACAACUUUCAACAACGGAUCCCUUGGCUCUCACAUCGAUGAAGAACGCAGC
rnacentral:misc_RNA from 1 species